rnacentral:tRNA from 1 species
AAAGGGAGACCUAAUUCGGGUAGGAGACGAAAAAAAAGUAGUCCCUACCAAGAAUCAAUCCCAAAAGGUCGGAACGAGGUAUGUGGCUUUCAAACUAGGUUCUGGGUUCAUAAAAGACCUGAAUCAGGAACAAGGGCUAUUAGCUCAGGUGGUUAGAGCGCACCCCUGAUAAGGGUGAGGUCCCUGGUUCGAGUCCAGGAUGGCCCACCUGCACAGGUGGCAAAAACAAGAGAAACGAGGAAUCAGCACCUUAUCUUACUUAUAUAGUAGGAGAGAAUGCUGGCUCUGAGUAAAGAGUCCAGAGGAACCUUGAAAACUGCAUAGAGCUAGGUGAAAAAGCCAAAAAAGAAGACCGCAAG